rnacentral:lncRNA from 1 species
CAACGAGACUCGAGUGCCCACUGGAAUUGUAGCAGGCUCACCAUAAUCUGAUGCACUGAAGAUCCCUACCAAAGAUCGAUAUCAUCCUGUUGAAGUAUACCUGCAUCCAUUAAAAGAUGCAGCACCCCCGGCAAAAGGGACGUUAGUACUGUCGAAUAGUACUAGUAUGUACAACUAAACACCCUCUCAAUAGAACAAUUAAUAUUACAAGGAGGAAUAAUCACAAAAUCAAUGAAAGUCUCGAACAAUACCAAAACAUCAAGUAGGUUGAAAUAUCAAGCCUUAUUAUACUUGCAUCAUUCGAAACUUCUUUUAGGUUCAACUGAGCCAUAUGAUCUACACGCGGAACACAUAAUACAAAGUAAUUGAAAUAACAUGUACAAACAAGGCCAAUGAAAAUGGCUCAUAAUGUCUGCGUUGACAAUGCGUCUUACUUGACCGUCCAUAUCCCUCUCUUAUCUUACCCAUAUGCAUUUCAUAGACCGUCCCUAGUGUUGACAUAUCAUAUUAUACACCUAUGAGUUUCAUAGACCGUUCAUAGGAUUCCAAACACAAUACACCUAUACAUCUCAUAGACAUGUGCGUUUCAAAGACCGUUCACAGUGUUUACUUACACAAUACACAUGUGCGUUUCAUAGACGCUCACACUGUUUACUUACACAAUACACCUGUGCGUUUCAUAGACCGUUCACAGUGAUUACAUAUACCAUACACCUGUGCAUUUCAUAGACCGUUCACAGUGUUUACUUACACAAUACACUUGUGUGUUUCAUAGACCGUUCACAGUAUUUACUUACACUAUAUACCUGUGCAUUUCAUAGACCGUUCACAGUGUUUACUUACACAAUACACAUGUGCGUUUCAUAGACCGUUCACAGUGUUUACUUACACAAUACACCAGUGCGUUUCAUAGACCGUCCAUAGGGUUAAUAACAUGAUAUACCUAUGCGUUUCAUAGACCUUCCGUAGGGUUCAUAACACAUCAUUAUACAUAUAACCAUGUAUAAACUCAAAGCGACAUGAUUAACAUAACAUUAAGGUCGUAAGUUCCAGGAUCAUUGGAACACUUCAUUUUUAUGCCCAUCAUGGAGAAACAUAAAACAUUACAUUAACACAUGCAUGGUGAAUCAUUAAGUCAAUUUCAAUGGCACAUAAGCCCAAUUACCUUUCUUAAGGUUCAUCAUCAUUUAACAUAGGACAUCUCCCUUCCAUCUCGUUAUUCACUCACUUGACAUCUUGAGGUCAUUAGCUAAGUUCAUGAUUCUUGAGGACUUAACAUCGAAGUCAUUUACAUCAUUAUUUCAGAAGCAUACAACUAUAGUUNAAACCAUUUUGGGACAUACAACACCUACAUAAUUCUCAUUUAGGCGAACAACCACAUUUCAUCUUCAUAUUUCAUUGGUUCCCUUUUUGCCAUACAUAUUAUUCUUCAUUCUUGGCACGGUGACCGUAUCUUAUAUUCCAUACUUUCAUUUCAUUACUUUCAAUACUCAUCAUCAAAUUUCACACAUCAUUUCAUUUUAUUGGCUCUAUUGGCCAUAAUCAAAACUUUCAUUAUUGGCACGGUGUCUACACUUUAUAUCCCCAACUCACUACUUUCACUUUCAAGCAUCUUUAUAAAUUAUCGACAACAAAGAAUCUUAAAUCACAACUUUUAGUACACCUAUGAGCAGAUAAGAGUCUUAUGUACAUUGAGUCUUCUUACACAAUUUGGCAUAAUAGCCUUCACUUGAAACGCUACUUGGAGUCAUAAUAUUUUUAUACCCAACUCAUGCCUUGAACACAUUCCCGAAGGAUAACAUCAUAUGAUAAGAGUAUCCUAAAUACAUUUGAAUAUGUACCUUUCAACACAAAGCUUAUUUGGAAUAAUUGAUUUAUAAAGAAUAACUCGGGACUUACAAGAGCAUCAUGGAAUUCAAUUCUAUGAAAGAAGUUUAGCCAUCAUACCUCGCUUUGAGCUUUUCUUAUAUUACUACAAUGUUCCGAAAAUUCUAGCAAUCCCAAUCUAUUUUGAGACUUAACAAAAUUGAACCAUAAUUAGGAAGAUAUUCAUGGUCUCAGCUCGUUUGAGCAUUUUAUUAAACACUAGGUGUGCAAAUUUAACUACAAGGUUCCUCUAUAAGAUUUUCUUCACUCCACAACCCAAUCUUUACUUAUUUGAGCUCAACAAUCUUCCCACAAAUCUUAUUUGUACAAGCAUGUAUAAAUAAUACUCUUAUACCCAAGAAUCAUACUCCAAAUCAGCCAUCUUUUACCCAAAUUCGAAAUUGGAAACUUGGGUAUGGAACCUUAUCUCUUAGAUGAAAAUCUUGUGAUUAGCUUCCUUGAUUCUUGAAGAUUGGUGCAAGAUUGGAUGAUUAUAAUGUUAGGUUCCCUUCUUCUCUCUCUAAAAUUCUCUUACCUCUCUCUAAAACUCUCAGAAAAAUAUUCCAAAAUAAGCCCGAAAGGCUAUUUAUCAAAAUGGAGUCGGGUUAUAAAAAAAGAAAAAUUAACCCUCCGAAAGCAGAUUUGCGGUCGCAUAAUAGACCGCAGAAUGGGUAUGCGGGUUGCAAAAUACACCAAAAAAUCGAUGCCCAGAAAUGGGCUUCCCUGGACAGGUCUGCGACCAUUUUGCGGUCGCAUAACUACUUCUGCGCACGCAUAAUGGUUCUGCGAUCGCAAAAUUCGUCGCAGAAUCGAAUUUUUCCAGCCUUGGAUAAUUUGGUCAUAACUUCUUGUAGUAAUAUCCAAAUGACAAACGGUUUGAAUCAUUGGAUACUAGACUCAAAGGGCUUUAAUUUGAUAGUUAAUAUACCAUAUAAACCUUUAUAUCAAGAGAGUUAUACUCAUUUGAAAUUAGGUCUUGUGCGAACUCACUUGAAUCUUUAUUCUAUCAUGAAAUUUUCAUCUUGCCUUAGCCUUGGGGUUCUUCUUAUCCCAUAAUCCAUUCUUAGUGCACUUAAUACAAAUAUUAUCAAGAUAAAUUGAUAUUAUUCUUAUAAUAGUCCUUGUCUGCACAUAAAAUAAUAUAAUUAGCGCACAUCAACUUUCUUACUAGCGCUCAUGUACUUUGAAAUUUUUCAGGGUGUCACAACUCCAUCCCUUACAAGAAGUUAACACAUUCCAUGAAAUCAUCCAUUUCUUCAUCAUCAAAGUUUUGCAAAACAGCUUCUAACAUGUCACCCAUGUUGAUUGUGGCACCAAUGUCAUAAAUCAUGACAUCAGUCACCAAAUCCAGAAAAGAGAACACCCUAUUGCUAUUUUGUUGUUGCAUAGACUUGCACACAUGAAAUAUUACUUGCUUAUCACCAACCUGUAAAUAAGUUCUCCGGCUUCCAUAUCACAAUGGGAUUUUCUCGUAGCAAGUAAUGGCCUCCCAAGAAUAUUUGGCACUUCAUAGUCUACCUCACAAUCAAGAAUAACAAAGUCCGUUGGAAGAAUGAAUUUAUCGACUUGAAUCAAUACAUCUUCAAUCACUCCCAAUGGUCUCUUCAUUGUGUGGCCGUCCAUUUGUAACCUAAUGGAUGUGGGUCUUGAUUUUCCAAUCCCCAAAUUUUUGAAAACUGAGUAGGUCAUCAAGUUGAUACUCGCCCCUAAAUCACAUAAGGCCUUUGAAAAAUUGGCCAAUAGUACAAGAAAUUGUGAAAGCACUAGGAUCCUCCAAUUUGGGAGACAUGAAAUGAACAAUUGCACUAACUUGAUGAGUGACCUUGAUUUCUUCAAUGUUUAUUGAUCUCUUCUUGGCCACAAUAUCUUUCAUGAAAUUGGUAUAGCAUGGCAUUUUCUCCGGCGCUUUCACCAAUGGCACAUUAAUAGAUAAACACUUCAUCAUUUGGAUGAACUUUGUAAAUUGAUUCUCAUCAUUUUUCUUAGCAAUCCUUUGGGCAUAAGUAGGGGAGGAUUUGGAAAAGAUGCCUUGGCCUUUUGUACUACCGGCUUCGGUACGUCAAUUAUAUAUUCCCCAGACGGGUACACCUCCUCUUUACUCUCUACCACAUUAUCAUCAUUGUCAAUUCGGACAUCAUCAUUUACUUGAGCAUCAUCAUGUGGAACAUCUUCCUCUUGUAGAAUUUGGUCUUCAUUCACAAUUAUCUUUCCACUUUGAUUGGGUACAUUCCCACUGUUUCCACUUCUCGUGACAAAAGUCAUAGCAUGCCUCGUGUUAUUACCACCACUACCGUGUCACUUGGUAAUGAACCUUUACGCCUAGUAUUAAAGGUUUGAGAAAUCUGCUCCAUUUGGACUUCAAGAUUAUAUAGCUAACAUCGUAAACGCCUCGGCAACAACGCCAAAAAUUAAUAACGCCUAAGACACACCCUAAGAUGGGAUAUGUAACGGUUGUUUGCAAUAUAUUAUACCAAAAAAGAGUCGGGGUGGAACCACAAGGAAUUUUAAUGAGUGCUAAGAUAAAUACUUAAGUAAACAAUUCAAUAUAUCUUAGAUUAACAUUCAACAAAACUUUGUUUAGUAACACUAUUAAUUAUACUAAUAAUUAUCUAAGAGACAUUUAUCAAACAUUUAAUAUGUUAUAGUUUAUCUAAGUUGUAAGAAAUAGAGAAAGGCCUAGAGUUGUAGUCCUAAGCUAUGUGUAAACCUAAUGGGUGAAAUCUAAUAUGCUUGGUUGAUUUAUUAGGGUUGUUAUGACUCUCAAAUCUAAAGUGCUCACUCAAUACCUCUCGAUUAAAGAGUGAUUAUGCCCAAAUUAGCUUUCUUAAUUCUAAAUGGGUAGCGAUACGAAUAAUUUAUUUUGAGCCCGAGUUGGAUUAUUGCUAUCUCUAGUUUAAAUUCGUUAAUUAAACCAAUCAAUACCGCAACUAGUCCAAUUUCUUGAUAUCCAAGUUUUCCUAAACCUAGUUGCUCUUCCUCAAGUAAGAAUAAAGUCAAAAAGGUAUGAAUCAAUAUUUGCAACCAAUAAUUCCAGUUUAAAGCAUGAAAAUGGAAUAAUAUAACAAUAAACCCAAUCAUAAACAAGAAUAUUAUUAGUAACCAAUACGAUUCACACACAAGGGUUGGAUUACAAUCCUAGAUAACAGUCUAACUACUCAUAAUAAAAGAAAUAAAAGUGAAAAUAAAAAAUGAAAUCAAAGACAUAAUACUAAAAUAAAAGAAAGAUGAAAUGGUCCUCUCCAAAUUAUAGCUCAAACUUGAUCCCAAUAGCUAAAACUAAGAACCCACAACUGCAACAGUGAAAGAUACCUAAAAUUGCUAAAAACAUGUCACGACCCCAAUUUUCAUCCGUAGGAUAUUGUGAUAGCACCUAGUCUCUAGGGCUAGAUAAGCCUAACAUUCAUGCAAAAAUAACUGAAAUAAUGAUUUAAGUCUGAGUAACUCAACAACUAAUAUAAAGAAAACUCUGUAACUCAGCAUAUACAACUUCCCAAAACUCAGCGAAUAAAAGUCACAAGCUCUAUAAGAUGGUACUGAACAUCCCUAUACAUCAGUGUCUAUAAAAGGAUAAGGAAAUAAAAUAGACUAGAUAGAGGGGGACUCCGAGUCAUGCGAACGCUGGCAAGUAUACCUUGAAGUCUCCGAACUAAGCUUGUUGCACCCUAUUUUGCACUAGUCAAAACAAAAUUGAACUUGUGGUUUCUCUGUUGUUGAUAAAAGAGAGUCGCCAGCUAAUAUUUAAAGGUAUACUAGGGUACCUAUUUAAUUAUUAAGUCACAUUAUUUAUUAUUCUGCUAACCGGUGAGAUUAUAGGUAAGGGUUCUUGUUCUUCUAAGGGGAAGGUUUUAGGCACUCCGUCAAACCUACCUGAGGUAGCUCCAUAGGACUUAGACUAGACUUGGGAUCAAUAAUUUGCACUAUGCUUUAAUUAAUAUUAAAGAGUACGGCUUACUGUAUACCUAAGGGAGAGUAUAAUAAAAGAGCGUGAGACCUUUAAAUGUAUGUGAAUUUAUAAAGGAGUCUAAAGAUAUGUUGGUGGAUAUAAUUGAAAGAGUUUUGAAAUGUGUAUGUAAAUGGUUAUAUUUAUAAAGCAUGUGAAAAGAGGUAAAGUUAUGAAAACACUUUGUUUAGAGAAUGGGUAUUCAUGUAACUCUAAGAGAUGUUUGUAGGAAAGUGAAACUAAAAUAUACCUUACAUUCUGAAAUCUUAAAUAUUUGACUUGAGAAAUGGUUUUGAAAUUCUUGUUGGGCAGUAGCACUUUAAUCUUUUGAAAGAGUCGAUUUUCUAGACUUGCGAUUCAGAUCUGAUUUUCUAUGUUAUGCGCUUCAAAAUCUUGGUAACAAAAGUAGAUGAGCAAAACAUAAUAUGAUAUAAAAAAAUACAAUUAGCGAAAUGGGGAUUAAUUACUAACUGAUUCUUUUAGUCAUAUGUUUUUAGGUCAUGCCUAAGUUUUAUAUGACAUUAAAGCAUAAAAUAAAGUAUGUGAUCUAAUAUAUGAGUGGUAUAUACAUGUGAGAUAGAACAAUAACAAAGAUAUAAUAAAUGCAACGAGACAGUGGGCUAAACUAGUGAAGCAGUAAACUGAACUAACGAGGCAGUAAUCAAUAAUAAAGGAGUUGAGGGAGAGAGGACUGGACUCUGGAAAUUGGGCCUCAAGAAGGCAGGCCCAGCAGUAAAGAAAUGGCAGUAGAUGACUCCGGACUCCUAAUGCAGCAAUACUGGGCUUAGGCCGGAGUUCCUUAGGAACUCAGCAUGCCAAAACAAAUAUACAUGUCCAAGAAAAAGUUAAAGUCAUUAGAUACAUGUUCUAUAUAUAUUCAACCAUGCACCAGACAUAUAAACAGAUGGUCGAAGCAAAAAUGCAAUAUACUAUCAAUACUAUAAUACUAUGAGAAAACUCAUACAAAUGUAAUGGUUAUACAUGGUAAAUAAUUUAUAUUGAAAACCUUUCGUUGUCAUUAAACACUAAGCCCCAAGAGAACCAAAAGUGUCAAUGAAUUAAAGGCUAAGGAGGGAGUUCUUCUCAAGGUCGAUGUCCCCUUUGAAUCCCCUGACACUUCAAAGUUUCCAAGAGACUCAAGGCCCAGGGCAAUGCUUGUGCCAGGGAGAGUAGCCCAACCUAGAGUUAAACUCCACUCCCAAUACCCCUAACCACUAACAACUUAUUUUUCCCUAUGGGUUUAAAUGCCAAUGAGCCCCUUUCAAUGUAAACUAAAUUCUAUGAUAUACCCUACCAUAAAAGUAUACUUUUCUCCUAGCAGAAUAAUAUAGGGACACACAAACAAUCCUUAUGACUACUUAUGAAUACCAAAUGAGCAAUACACACAUCAAGUAAAUCUAAAGGUCAGACUUCGAGCACAUAUAAGAGAGAAACAGAAACAUCAUGGUAUACUGUUAAAUGUCUAACACAGGGGAAAUACAUUAAAAGGAAAGGUAAAGAAUGCUGAAUUUAGGUGUGCAGCAACCCAAAAAAUGUAAAUAUUUCUACCCUGAUAGACUAAUUAUAGAUUGAUUAGCUUAGGUCUUGCCACUAGCACACGCAUAGUUUAAUAACACUAUUUGGAACCUUUUAAAAGGGCAUCAGUAAGGGUUCAAACAAACAGUUACAACUAACCACUUUUACAAAAGUUAUCAGAGAUAUCACUAACAUGAUCAACAUUCUCAAUAUAACUACAAGUUCACAGAUUUGAAUAAGGAAUUCCUAAGGUGCUCAACCGGAUCACAUUCAUAAGAGUAUUAACCUUAAAUAAACUAUUAUGGAUAGGUAGUGUCAAUAAAAUACUUCUCAUAUGAUUUAAAGAUCUGAUUCAGGUUAGGUUGACAGUAAGGAGAGGACUGAGUACUAUUUUAAAACAAAGGCAUGGAAUCAUGAAGCCAAAAUUGGGAAACAUAUAACAUCAACUAUGCACAUAUACUUUAAUGAUUUUUACAAAGGCUGGGUAAGCUUUACAAAUUCAGCAAUGCCAUGAGGAGGUUAAAGACAAAGAAAGCGCUAUGUCAAAAUAAGUUUAACUCUGAUAUACAAACAGAGAUUUUAUAUAUAAACAUGAGACAACUAUGUUCAGAUUAAAUACAGUUACUCUUCAACUGUAACAAACAAAACCCAUGACCUAUUGUUAUGAAAAUGGGUAACUUAAUCUUAACAAAGUAUGUACAGAAGGAUUAUUGGUAUUCCCAAGAAUUCGUGUUAGUAAAACUAUCUCAUAUAUGUGCAGCCAAUCAAUUAGACAUAAGAUUAUCAUAAUAAAGAAGAAUCAGAGAGCUAUUCUCAGAAUUAACAGACACAUGUAUAGAGGAAGAGAGCAUUUAAAACACUUGCAUUUCUCAGACUUCAGAUAAAUGGUGAAGGGUGUAAACUCUUACCUCUCAGAUUUUGUCCUAAUGAGGAUUAUCAGACAGUGCUUUCGACCACAAGACAACAUGAUGCAGGAAAACAGUGUAUAAAGAUGAAGAUUAUAAUAAAUAUCAUAAUAGAACUAUUGACUGAAACCUGAAGUUUGAACAAGAAUGGGAGUCAUUAGAGAAAAUUUAGGAAGUUUAAUCGUAUUAGCUAUUUUAAAGUUAUUAAGGCUCAUAAUGGAAACUUAAUCAUGUAGACUGUUUAGGCUCAUAAGUGCAAGUCAUUAAAGCCACAUAACAAUUUAAUCAAUACCAAUCAAAGAGAUUCAGAAAAAAUAUGAUGCAUGACCACAGAUCAACAACACUUUAAUAUGAACUAGGAUAAGACUUUAAUAUGAACUGGGAUAACAUGUACAUAGCAUUUAAGUAAAGCAAUUAGAAGAGACGAGGGUAAAUGCGCACUGACCUUUCUUAGGGCAGCAAACCAAAUAGAACUUGUUUAGCCGUUAGAACAAGAGAACUCAGACAUUUCAACCAAAUAAAUACCUUAGAGCAAAAUCAGAAUUCGAGUACGAGCUUAACCUUAAUCGAAGAAAUUCUACAACUACCAUACUGAUUUUGCCUUUACUAAGUAUUCUUGGUGUAUUCUUUUUCAGUGUUAGGUGGUAGUGUAGAUGAUUUAGGUGAGAACAUUAAAGGCCCUAUUUAUGGUGUCAUUAAGGCUCUAGGGUCUCAACGGAUUCAAAAUCAUGAGUGAAAAGUGACAAAAGAUUGAUGAUGAUAGCAAAAUCGAGUGAAUAAUCUCAGAGACAGAGGGGAAAAAUCAUGAACAAGUUUACCUGAGUGAAGAAGGUUGAUCGUUAAAGGCAAAACCCAUCGGUCAAAGUUCCAAUGUCCAGAGGUCAUUGCAUUUGACCUCUGGACUUCGAAUAAUCAUGAUGAGGCUUUGCAAUGUGCUCAUGCAUUCUCUGAUUUAACAAAACAUGAAGGAAAUCAGGAGAUAUGAAGUUGCAUUUUUGAGUCUGCGGUUUCAGAUUAGGGGUUGCAAAUUUAAUCAACGAAAUUGGAAACUGAAAUCAACUGGUUUCAAAACCUAGGGACAAAGCAGACGAAUCUAUAAGUUGGAUUUGAAAGAACGAAGGAGAAAUAAGGCUAGCGACGUUUUGAGGUUAGUCUUCCAGGAUUGGUUUUUGAAUUUUGAGUGCUGAGAUAGGAAAUAGCAGGCUGGAUUCGCGGAUAGAGAGACAAAAGAGAUGAUCCUGAGUGAUUUCGAGUGACCUUGCACAAAUUUGUGCAAGGUUUUAGAGUUUGAUGGUUGAGGCAGAUAAGAGAAAAGAGAGAGAAAAGGGAAAGAGAGGCGGCCAGGUCUUUGAGUGAAUGAUUAGGGUUUG